rnacentral:rRNA from 1 species
UCCAGACUCCUACGGGAGGCAGCAGUGGGGGAUAUUGCACAAUGGGGGGAACCCUGAUGCAGCGACGCCGCGUGGGUGAAGGAGUAUUUCGGUAUGUGAAGCCCUAUCGGCAGGGAAGAAGCAAGACGGGACCUGACUAAGAAGCCCCGGCUAACUACGUGCCAGCAGCCGCGGUAAUACGUAGGGGGCGAGCGUUAUCCGGAUUCACUGGGUGUAAAGGGAGCGUAGACGGCCAAGCAAGCCAGAGGUGAAAGCCCGGGGCCCAACCCCGGGACUGCCCUUGGAACUGCUUGGCUGGAGUGCGGGAGGGGCAGGCGGAAUUCCUGGUGUAGCGGUGAAAUGCGUAGAUAUCAGGAGGAACACCGGCGGCGAAGGCGGCCUGCUGGACCGCGACUGACGUUGAGGCUCGAAAGUGUGGGGAGCAAACAGGAUUAGAUACCCUGGUA